UUUUUCAUUUUAAGAGUAUGUUAGUCGUCUAUGCCAAGUUCAAUAACUCAAGAUUAAAUUAGCUGGGUCUUUUAUCAGACUUAUACUGUUAUUGAUGUUGAAGCAGCAGCACCUUUUCUUAACUGAAAUCAUCUCAUUACACUUCACAUGUUUAAAAAGUUACAUCGAUAUAAUGAUUUUCGGUAUCGCUCCAGAAGCGACGUCUGAUCAUGCACGAGGACAUGGACAAAGGGCUGAAGUUUGAGGACAAAGAGUUUGAGUAUGAGGCCUUGAACAGGAGGACCUUGUUAGUAACAGCCAAAUAUAUCUGAAAAAGUCUGAACUAAACUAAACUAAACACCAAUAAACUUGUGCGGUACAUGUGAACCAAAAUGAGUGAUUUAUUAUACAGUUCAUAGUUUGGCCACCUGAACCUUUUGAAUGUAUUGAUGGUGAAACAUUUUGGUAUUUUUAUUGAGGGAAAAAAAAACACUUCUGUCUAUGUAUCUUCUGAAAACCAAAAUCUCACGAUUCAUCUUUAGGAGCCGUGUUCCUUGGAGGAAGAAAAGUCAGAGGGGAAUGGGUGCAUUGAGCCUUGUGUGACAACCCAUCAUGAAAAAAAGGAGUUGUACUCUCCUUUAAAAAGGAAGCCGAUUGAAUCCAGGAAGCAUGGUGCCUGUGAUGAAAAGAAGAAACCCAGGGAGGAGAACGUGUCAGAGAUUGAUGUCUGCAAAGCUGAUGGGGAGGGCCAUGUCAAAGAUGAAAUGAGCUGUGGUCCUGGAUUGAACAACAGCUGAGGAAUAUAGAUGCAUUGAACUUUGUGUGAGCACCUGCAGUGGACCAAAGCCCAAAAGAUUGCAGACUGGAUCAGGACAACCAACUGCCACACCCUCGAGGACAAACAGAAUUCAUACUGUUUUUGAUAAAGAAAACAAUGUGUUUGUUGACAGUACUGUUGUUAAUGUUCAAAUAAAAUGGAGACAUUUCAAAGAUGCUGGCUUGUGUAACAGUCAAAAAGAUAAGACUGAGUCACAAAAGAGGACCGGCAUAUGCAACUGCCACACC